rnacentral:rRNA from 1 species
UACGUAGGGUGCAAGCGUUGUCCGGAAUUAUUGGGCGUAAAGAGCUCGUAGGCGGCUUGUCACGUCGACUGUGAAAACCCGGGGCUCAACUCCGGGCCUGCAGUCGAUACGGGCUGGCUUGAGUGCGGUAGGGGAGACUGGAAUUCCUGGUGUAGCGGUGAAAUGCGCAGAUAUCAGGAGGAACACCGGUGGCGAAGGCGAGUCCCUGGACAAUCCCUGACACUGAGGCACGAAAGCUAGGGGAGCAAACAGG